GGAAGGAUCAUUAUUGAAUGAACUUGGUGUGGUUGUUGCUGGCCCUCUCGGGGGCAUGUGCACACCCACCAUCCUCAUCUCUCCACCUGUGCACCUCUUGUAGACCUGGAUAGACUUUCCGAGGCAACUCGGUCGGGAAGAUUGCUGCGCUCUGUGAGCCAGCUUUCUUUGCAUGUCCAGGCCUAUGUUUUUCAUAUACCCCUAUAGAAUGUAACAGAAUGUAUCAUUGGGCCUUGUGCCUAUAAACCUUAUACAACUUUCAGCAACGGAUCUCUUGGCUCUCGCAUCGAUGAAGAACGCAGCGAAAUGCGAUAAGUAAUGUGAAUUGCAGAAUUCAGUGAAUCAUCGAAUCUUUGAACGCACCUUGCGCUCCUUGGUAUUCCGAGGAGCAUGCCUGUUUGAGUGUCAUUAAAUUCUCAACCUUAUUAGCUUUUGUUGAUAAUGGAUUGGAUGUGGGGGUUUAUUUGCUGGCUUCUUCACAGAGAUCAGCUCCCCUUAAAUGCAUUAGCUGGUGCCCCGCGUGGACCAUCUAUUGGUGUGAUAAUUAUCUACGCCGUGGAUGUCUGCAAUCAUAUGGGUUUUGCACUGCUUCUAACCGUCUGUUCAUUCGGACAAUACAUGACAAUUUGACCUCAAAUCAGGUAGGACUACCCGCUGAACUUAAGCAUAUCAAUAAGCGGAGGAAAAGAAACUAACAAGGAUUCCCCUAGUAACUGCGAGUGAAGCGGGAAAAGCUCAAAUUUAAAAUCUGGCGGUCUCCGGCCGUCCGAGUUGUAAUCUAGAGAAGUGUUAUCCGCGCUGGACCGUGUACAAGUCUCCUGGAAUGGAGCGUCAUAGAGGGUGAGAAUCCCGUCUUUGACACGGACUGCCAGGACUUUGUGAUGCG
rnacentral:rRNA from 1 species